UGUGAGUAGCGAAAGACGGGUGAGAAUCCCGUCCACCGAUUGACUAAGGUUUCCAGAGGAAGGCUCGUCCGCUCUGGGUUAGUCGGGUCCUAAGCUGAGGCCGACAGGCGUAGGCGAUGGAUAACAGGUUGAUAUUCCUGUACCACCUAUAAUCGUUUUAAUCGAUGGGGGGACGCAGUAGGAUAGGCGAAGCGUGCGAUUGGAUUGCACGUCUAAGCAGUAAGGCUGAGUAUUAGGCAAAUCCGGUACUCGUUAAGGCUGAGCUGUGAUGGGGAGAAGACAUUGUGUCUUCGAGUCGUUGAUUUCACACUGCCGAGAAAAGCCUCUAGAUAGAAAAUAGGUGCCCGUACCGCAAACCGACACAGGUAGUCAAGAUGAGAAUUCUAAGGUGAGCGAGCGAACUCUCGUUAAGGAACUCGGCAAAAUGACCCCGUAACUUCGGGAGAAGGGGUGCUCUUUAGGGUUAACGCCCAGAAGAGCCGCAGUGAAUAGGCCCAAGCGACUGUUUAUCAAAAACACAGGUCUCUGCUAAACCGUAAGGUGAUGUAUAGGGGCUGACGCCUGCCCGGUGCUGGAAGGUUAAGAGGAGUGGUUAGCUUCUGCGAAGCUACGAAUCGAAGCCCCAGUAAACGGCGGCCGUAACUAUAACGGUCCUAAGGUAGCGAAAUUCCUUGUCGGGUAAGUUCCGACCCGCACGAAAGGCGUAACGAUUUGGGCACUGUCUCAACGAGAGACUCGGUGAAAUCAUAGUACCUGUGAAGAUGCAGGUUACCCGCGACAGGACGGAAAGACCCCGUGGAGCUUUACUGUAGCCUGAUAUUGAAAUUCGGCACAGCUUGUACAGGAUAGGUAGGAGCCUUUGAAACGUGAGCGCUAGCUUACGUGGAGGCGCUGGUGGGAUACUACCCUAGCUGUGUUGGCUUUCUAACCCGCACCACUUAUCGUGGUGGGAGACAGUGUCAGGCGGGCAGUUUGACUGGGGCGGUCGCCUCCUAAAAGGUAACGGAGGCGCUCAAAGGUUCCCUCAGAAUGGUUGGAAAUCAUUCAUAGAGUGUAAAGGCAUAAGGGAGCUUGACUGCGAGACCUACAAGUCGAGCAGGGUCG
rnacentral:rRNA from 1 species